GACGAACGCUGGCGGCGUGCUUAACACAUGCAAGUCGAACGGAAAGGCCCUGCUUUUGUGGGGUGCUCGAGUGGCGAACGGGUGAGUAACACGUGAGUAACCUGCCCUUGACUUUGGGAUAACUUCAGGAAACUGGGGCUAAUACCGGAUAGGAGCUCCUGCUGCAUGGUGGGGGUUGGAAAGUUUCGGCGGUUGGGGAUGGACUCGCGGCUUAUCAGCUUGUUGGUUGGGUAGUGGCUUACCAAGGCUUUGACGGGUAGCCGGCCUGAGAGGGUGACCGGCCACAUUGGGACUGAGAUACGGCCCAGACUCCUACGUGAGGCAGCAGUGGAGAAUAUUGCACAAUGGGCGGAAGCCUGAUGCAGCAACGCCGCGUGCGGGAUGACGGCCUUCGGGUUGUAAACCGCUUUCGCCUGUAACGAAGCGUGAGUGACGGUAAUGGGUAAAGAAGCACCGGCUAACUACGUG
rnacentral:rRNA from 1 species